rnacentral:ribozyme from 1 species
AAGUAAAAGAAACCCCACAGGGGAUGAAUAUCACAGGACAUAGUAUGGAAGUUGACUUUCUUAAAGAAGAACUUUCAGAAUCACUAAAGAGAACUUCAUUGCAGUGUUGGGAUUUUUUUUUAG